rnacentral:rRNA from 1 species
GUGUCAGCAGCCGCGGUAAUACGGAGGGCGCAAGCGUUGUUCGGAAUUACUGGGCGUAAAGCGCGUGUAGGCGGCCAGGUAAGUCGGGUGUGAAAGCCCGGGGCCCAACCCCGGAACUGCACCCGAUACUGCUUGGCUGGAGUCCCGGAGAGGAUGGCGGAAUUUCCGGUGUAGAGGUGAAAUUCGUAGAUAUCGGAAGGAACACCAGUGGCGAAGGCGGCCAUCUGGACGGUGACUGACGCUGAGACGCGAAAGCGUGGGGAGCAAACAGGAUUAGAAACCCCCGUAGUCC